GCGCUCACUUGGGCAGCAUAUAUACUAAUAUUGGAACGACAUAGAGAAGAUUAACAUAGCCCCUGCGCAAGGAUGAUACACUUAAGUAAUCCUUGCAAAAACUCUGC